rfam:Candidatus Accumulibacter sp. SK-02 contig000005, whole genome shotgun sequence.
UCCUCGAUAGCUCAGUCGGUAGAGCGUCGGACUGUUAAUCCGUAGGUCCCUGGUUCGAGCCCAGGUCGGGGAG